CUUCCCAGUCAGAAUGCUUGUAGGUUAAGGCAGAAGGCAUGGGUUCACGCUUUGAAAAAAGUUAUCCAUUCUUAGUUGUGCUUGGUGUGUCGGCCUUCGAGGCCCUAUCUAUGUAAUGACUUGGCCUUAAUGGUCCUUAUUUGUAUUAGACGAUGUGUAUGGAUGUAAGACUCUCGUGAUUCCGCUUAUGUGUGUUCAGUGAGCAUUGAUCUUUGGGAUCACUGUACACGUGCAUUCGGUGAUCAUGACUUACAAGUCGGGGUCCCCACAAAGCUAGUAUGAGAGCCACGUUGACUGUUGGAAGCCUUUUCUAGCAUGGAUGUUAGAUAGGGCAAAACCCCUUUCAAAAUCUACACCUAGCCUUUACACUUAUGAGUUCUACAUUUCUUGCCUGUUCCACUCUAUUUUCAAAGACCUUUACUAACACAUCUUCUUAAACGUUAUAGAUGGUCGUCGUACAAGAAAACCUUCUACAAUCUGGCUUUCCCCUACUCCUUGAGGACACCCUGGAGAAGUGUCGGAUCCGCCGAUCACCCGUUUUCCUCUACCACGAGAACUCGGUCAAUGCAACCACAAAGGAGUACCAUGUUCAUGUGGUCGUGAAGGCAAAUGACUCCCCGACUAGCUGGUUCUUUCAAGGACCGCAGAUGGAGACUCUGGAAUUAACAGUCGAGACAUCAGCGUGGAAGGCGCUCAUCCACCUUCAUAACAUCCUUCCUGAGAUGGCCGACAAACCGGCUACUCAUCAAUUACCCUUCGUGUAGGAUGAUGUUGGUGGGAGUUGGACGUUAACCCCAUCCCCAUAAGAAGGAGCACCAGGGUGGCUCACCAUCUCAUCAAGGAAUCCGUGAAGCUACACCAGGAACUUCACCACACCCGUGAGCUGCUCUGUCAAGCUAAGAUGAAGUCAGGCAAGAUCAAGAAGGAUGGAGCCCCUGAGGGGCAACCUGUUGUCUCUUACAAAGGAGGAAUACCCCCAACUAGAUAUACACCCACAAGGCAUCAUCGCAUGAGUGCGGAGGAGUAUCACGAGCUCUUCACCGCCCCACUGGUGAAGCGUCAUCGGAAUGGACCCCCCGUUCUGCAACUCGCUUGAUAGGAGACGAUACUUGUACACAUGAUGACCAGGAGGAAGACCUAGAGGAGCGUGAGUACGAGAUCGAGCAGUCCACUACUUGAGUCCCACAACCCCUAAGGUAGGACAAUUUAUGAACCCCUCAUGCCAAGUCGUGUCAGUGUAAUAGUUCAUUUGAAACCAUGUGUGCCUGUUUUUUAUUUUUCUAUUUGUGUUUCGAUGCAAGUCGCACUUUUGCCUUAGGCAACAUGUAAGUGACUACAUCGCUUAUCAUCUUAAGGUUAUAUGAUGGGUCUUUUGGAUGUUUAUUUGACACACUUGCACUAUACCGACCCCCCUUUUAGGCGCGUUCCCCUAUUGUUGUUAUUCCUUUCGUCUAUCUAGUUGUUUGACUUGGCUGCUCCAAAUAGGAUGGUGACUGCUACUCGCACCAGUACUUUUGGCAACCCCAGCACACGCGAGUCUAGCCAGCAGCGAGAAGCUCGGUGGGUCUGCUCAAACUGGAGGUCACUAGGAGCAGACACAAGACGAUAUUCCCCUACCACCGCCUCCACCGGAGAACCUAACUAUGGCUCAGCUUCUCCUAGAUCUCCGAAAAGAAUGCCAAGCCAACACUGUGUCUAUCCAUCAGAUGGCCCACGUUCUCGUGAACAACCCGCAGCUCAGCUAGAACGACAAUGGUCGUUCCACUCUGUUAGAGUUCAUGAGGUCUUCGCCGCCGACCUUCACUGAGAUAGCUGAACCUUUGGAUGUUGAUGACUAGAUCCGCACCAUCAAGGACCUCCUUGCAUUGUUCAACUGCAAUGAGGACCGCGAAAAGGUUCUCUAUGCGUCUCACUGCCUCAGAGGUAUUGCCAAAGCUUGGUUGGAUGGAUUCAAGGUCAUGCAAGGUGAGCGUGUUAUCACAUGGGAUGAUUUCAAGCAAGGAUUCCGUACUUGCCAUAUCCCUUCUAGGAUUAUGAUCAUCAAGAAGCGGGAGUUUCCAGCGCUGUAGCAAGGAAGUGGCUCAGUUAAGGAGUACCUAUCAGGGCCGGUUUUCCUGGGAUUUUAAUUCCCAUCAAAAUGACCCAUGUGCAUAGCAGCCCCAAGAAUAUUGUUAGCUAGUACACAAAUCCUUGAUACAAACGUCCAAUCAAAUUACAGAUUUGAAGUUCAUGACCAAGAUGGUCUAUGGAGUACAUCAAAAUGAUUUCUACUUGUUGAUGGCGGAAGCGGUUCAGGGAUCUACAACAUCUAUUGGACUCCAUUCCCAACAGGAACAAUUGACCUGGAUAAUUCCUAUCUCACGCGGUUGCUGUCUUCGGUGCCUAGGUUCCGGGGCUACCACCGGGAUGCACUUUUCCAAAUAUGCAAUCUAGCCAAGACAAUAGCCAGGGACAAGCGAGUGAGUACUUUGAAUGUACUCGCAAACAUCAUGAAAUUAGACAUAAAAUAGCUGGUGAUAAAUGUGCACUUGAAAUCAUUCAAUGAUGUUACCUUAGUCAUAAUCCAACUUCUUAAGUGCAAGCAGACAUAUGUUUUAACCAUACUGAGAAUUUAAUAAGGAAACAAUGAAAGAAAAUUUUAUUGGAACAUCGAAUGGUAGUCCUCCCGAAUAUUUCCAAGAACAGAAAAAUAGUCCGACCGGAUGUGUGGAGCGACGCCUUGAACGGAUAAGAUAUAAAGCAUGCCUUAUUCGGGCGUCUCAGCGACACCAGAUAAAGGGCUUAUAAGAAAUAAUAAGAUACAUGCCAUGGUCGGGCGUCUGAGCGACACCACAUAAAGGGCUUAAAUGAAAUAAUAACAAUCAUGCCACACUUAGGCGUUUGAGCGGAACUGCAUAAAGUUCUUAUUAGAAAUAAUACCAAUGAAUAUUCAGGAGGUAGAACCGUCUCAGGGAUAUUCAACAUUCAUGUAUCAUAAAGGUUAGUCCAUGAUAAAAUAAUAAUUAUGAUCAUCCACCAUAUUUCACGAUUUUCUCAUGGUUAAGUUAACUUCCCCUGAAGACAGACACUUGACGCGUUAACUAGUCGUCCUUGACCGUGUACACGGCUACUCGAAUUGUCUUAGAAAAUUUUCAAAUAAAUAGUAGAAAAUUUGUCUUAGAAAAUUUUCAAAUAAAUAUUAAAAUAAACUAGAUAAUUUUAUGAAGAGGUGAGAAAAAGAAUCAACUCAUUUGAAGUUUUAUUUUAGAAAUUAGAGCGAGUCAAAGUUUGGUCAAUGUUUUGUUUUAAAAUAAAUGAGAAAAGGGAAAACGUUUCGGACGGAAAUACGCAAGCGCGAGGAAAAAACGUACUUCACGGCAUGCGCGGCCACUUAUCCAGCACACGCGUGACUCGCGAGUCACUGACAGUGUGCCGCCUAGCCAAUUGGUCAGGUUUGACCGGUCUCCUCCUUUCUCCUCCUGUGAUAGAACCGGGACGGAGCUCGGCGACCAACACCAGCAAGGGGGGCUUCAUGCGAGGUGGCGAGCACCCGAGGGAGCUCAGGGGGUCACGACGGUCCUGAGGAGGGGAUGCGAGGCCGCCAUAGUGGGCAGAGCCGUCGGCGGCGUGCUAACCCGAAAAGCUCCGACGGGACCAAAAUUUGGGAAUCUCUCUCUGGUGCUCUUGAGGCCGAAUUUGGACCCGGGAUGGAUUCAAGGGAACUCCACGGGGCUUUGGGAGCGAGAGAGGGAGGGGAUAGGGUCUGUUCAGGUCGAAUUCGACCGAGACGGCCAUUGCUACUGGACACGAAGAGGAUGACCCUCUUGGUCUCAAUUGGCUCAAACGGAGGGUUACUGCGGGGCAGUGG
rnacentral:lncRNA from 1 species